rnacentral:rRNA from 1 species
GCUAUACAUGCAGUCGAGCGAACAGAUAAGGAGCUUGCUCCUUUGACGUUAGCGGCGGACGGGUGAGUAACACGUGGGUAACCUACCUAUAAGACUGGAAUAACUUCGGGAAACCGAAGCUAAUGCCGGAUAACAUGUAGAACCGCAUGGUUCUACAGUGAAAGAUGGCUUUGCUAUCACUUAUAGAUGGACCCGCGCCGUAUUAGCUAGUUGGUAAGGUAACGGCUUACCAAGGCAACGAUACGUAGCCGACCUGAGAGGGUGAUCGGCCACACUGGAACUGAGACACGGUCCAGACUCCUACGGGAGGCAGCAGUAGGGAAUCUUCCGCAAUGGGCGAAAGCCUGACGGAGCAACGCCGCGUGAGUGAUGAAGGUCUUCGGAUCGUAAAGCUCUGUUAUUAGGGAAGAACAAGUGCGUAAGUAACUGUGCGCACCUUGACGGUACCUAAUCAGAAAGCCACGGCUAACUACGUGCCAGCAGCCGCGGUAAUACGUAGGUGGCAAGCGUUAUCCGGAAUUAUUGGGCGUAAAGCGCGCGUAGGCGGUUUCUUAAGUCUGAUGUGAAAGCCCACGGCUCAACCGUGGAGGGUCAUUGGAAACUGGGAGACUUGAGUGCAGAAGAGGAAAGUGGAAUUCCAUGUGUAGCGGUGAAAUGCGCAGAGAUAUGGAGGAACACCAGUGGCGAAGGCGACUUUCUGGUCUGUAACUGACGCUGAUGUGCGAAAGCGUGGGGAUCAA